rnacentral:rRNA from 1 species
AUUGAACGCUGGCGGCAGGCCUAACACAUGCAAGUCGAACGAGUGGCGGACGGGUGAGUAAUGUCUGGGAAACUGCCUGGUGGUGGGGGAUAACGUCCGGAAACGGGCGCUAAUACCGCAUACUAUCAGAUGAGCCUAGGUCGGAUUAGCUUGUUGGUGGGGUAAAGGCCUACCAAGGCGACGAUCCCUAACUGGUCUGAGAGGAUGAUCAGCCACACUGGAACUGAGACACGGUCCAGACUCCUACGGGAGGCAGCAGUGGGGAAUAUUGGACAAUGGGGGAAAGCCUGAUGCAGCAAUGCCGCGUGUGUGAAGAAGGUCUUCGGAUGGUAAAGUACUUUAAGUGGGGAGGCGUUACCCACAGAAUAAGCACCGGCUAACUUCGUGCCAGCAGCCGCGGUAAUUC